rnacentral:rRNA from 1 species
UACGUAGGGGGCUAGCGUUGUCCGGAAUCAUUGGGCGUAAAGAGCGUGUAGGCGGCCCGGUAAGUCCGCUGUGAAAGUCGGGGGCUCAACCCUCGAAUGCCGGUGGAUACUGUCGGGCUAGAGUGCGGAAGAGGCGAGUGGAAUUCCUGGUGUAGCGGUGGAAUGCGCAGAUAUCAGGAGGAACACCGAUGGCGAAGGCAGCUCGCUGGGACGGUACUGACGCUGAGGCGCGAAAGCGUGGGGAGCGAACAGG